rnacentral:tRNA from 1 species
GAGAGCGGAUAUGGCCUGGUGGUCGUCCUCGUCUUCAAAACGAGCGGGCGCGGUGGCGAACCGCGUCGGUGGGUUCGACUCCCACGCGCUCUC